rnacentral:rRNA from 2 species
UUGGUGCCUUCGGGAACUCUGAGACAGGUGCUGCAUGGCUGUCGUCAGCUCGUGUUGUGAAAUGUUGGGUUAAGUCCCGCAACGAGCGCAACCCUUAUCCUUUGUUGCCAGCGGUUCGGCCGGGAACUCAAAGGAGACUGCCAGUGAUAAACUGGAGGAAGGUGGGGAUGACGUCAAGUCAUCAUGGCCCUUACGAGUAGGGCUACACACGUGCUACAAUGGCAUAUACAAAGAGAAGCGACCUCGCGAGAGCAAGCGGACCUCAUAAAGUAUGUCGUAGUCCGGAUUGGAGUCUGCAACUCGACUCCAUGAAGUCGGAAUCGCUAGUAAUCGUAGAUCAGAAUGCUACGGUGAAUACGUUCCCGGGCCUUGUACACACCGCCCGUCACACCAUGGGAGUGGGUUGCAAAAGAAGUAGGUAGCUUAACCUUCGGGAGGGCGCUUACCACUUUGUGAUUCAUGACUGGGGUGAAGUCGUAACAAGGUAACCGUAGGGGAACCUGCGGUUGGAUCACCUCCUUA